ensembl:snRNA U12 U12 minor spliceosomal RNA
AUGCCUUAAACUUAUGAGUAAGGAAAAUAACGACCCGGGGUGACGCCCGGGUCCUCACUGCCAAUGUGAGAGGAAUUUUUGCGCGGGUACAGGUCGCCCCCGGGUGCCCCGCUUACUUCGCGGGAUGCCCGGGUGCCGUGAUCUGCCCG